GGGCCGCUAGCUCAGCAGGUAGAGCAACGCCCUUUUAAGGCGUGGGUCGAAGGUUCGAAUCCUUCGCGGCUCA
rnacentral:tRNA from 1 species